rnacentral:rRNA from 1 species
CCUACGGGAUGCAGCAGUGGGGAAUAUUGGACAAUGGGCGAAAGCCUGAUCCAGCAAUGCCGCGUGUGUGAAGAAGGUCUUCGGAUUGUAAAGCACUUUCGACGGGGACGAUGAUGACGGCACCCGUAGAAGAAGCCCCGGCUAACUUCGUGCCAGCAGCCGCGGUAAUACGAAGGGGGCUAGCGUUGCUCGGAAUGACUGGGCGUAAAGGGCGCGUAGGCGGUUUAUGCAGUCAGAUGUGAAAUCCCCGGGCUUAACCUGGGAACUGCAUUUGAGACGCAUAGAUUAGAGGUCGAGAGAGGGAUGUGGAAUUCCUAGUGUAGAGGUGCAAUUCGUAGAUAUUGGGAAGAACACCGGUGGCGAAGGCGGCAACCUGGCUCGAUACUGACCCUGAGGCGCGAAAGCGUGGGGAGCAAACAGGAUUAGAUACCCUUGUAGUC